AUUGAACGCUGGCGGCAGGCCUAACACAUGCAAGUCGAACGGUAACAGGAAGAAGCUUGCUUCUUUGCUGACGAGUGGCGGACGGGUGAGUAAUGUCUGGGAAACUGCCUGAUGGAGGGGAUAACUACUGGAAACGGUAGCUAAUACCGCAUAACGUCGCAAGACCAAAAAGGGGGACCUUCGGGCCUCUUGCCAUCGGAUGUGCCCAGAUGGGAUUAGCUAGUAGGUGGGGUAACGGCUCACCUAGGCGACGAUCCCUAGCUGGUCUGAGAGGAUGACCAGCCACACUGGAACUGAGACACGGUCCAGACUCCUACGGGAGGCAGCAGUGGGGAAUAUUGCACAAUGGGCGCAAGCCUGAUGCAGCCAUGCCGCGUGUAUGAAGAAGGCCUUCGGGUUGUAAAGUACUUUCAGCGGGGAGGAAGGGAGUAAAGUUAAUACCUUUGCUCAUUGACGUUACCCGCAGAAGAAGCACCGGCUAACUCCGUG
rnacentral:rRNA from 1 species